rnacentral:rRNA from 1 species
UACGGAGGGGACUAGCGUUGUUCGGAAUUACUGGGCGUAAAGCGCACGUAGGCGGCUUUGUAAGUCAGGGGUGAAAUCCCGGGGCUCAACCUCGGAACUGCCUUUGAUACUGCAAAUCUCGAGUCCGGAAGAGGUGAGUGGAAUUCCUAGUGUAGAGGUGAAAUUCGUAGAUAUUGGGAAGAACACCGGUGGCGAAGGCGGCGACCUGGUCCGAUACUGACGCUGAGGCGCGAAAGCGUGGGGAGCAAACAGG